GCCCCAUGUGGGUGGUGGAAGUCGAACCCG
rnacentral:piRNA from 1 species